rnacentral:rRNA from 1 species
UACCUCUGUUUCCUCCGGCGUACAAGCGCCCUGGCCUACCUACAGGGCCUCCCCCCCCUAAGGGGGGUUGACCUGCUAGGGAGGUGCCUAGCUGAUCAGUACCUAAUCCUUCGGGCUCUGGGUAGCUGUGAUAAGGUGCCGACCAAGGCCUCGGUAGCGCGCCGAGAGGACCGCUCGAAGCUCUUUUUCUCCAACUCUUGCUAGAACAAACCCUUAUCGAAGGAACUAUUCCAAUAAAAACCACUCGAAAAAAAUAUCGAAGAAAAUUAUCGAAGUAACUAUCGAAGAAAUUAUCCAAGAUUCUUUUUUUUACGGCUAUUAAUGAUUUAUGACUUACUGCUGUUUCUUUUCGCUCGAAGGUCUUUCCCGGUUGGAAUUGUAUUCUCGUAGUGCAAUUUUUACCCUAUAGGCGUUCGUGUUUUAGGGAGGCUGUAGUGUGUUUUUAUUUCCUUUAGCUCAAACGUGUUUCCCGGUUGGAAUUAAAUCUCGACAAGAACUGUUCUAGUCUAGGGUCUGAAUAACCUUAAACUUUUUUUGCAUAAAAACAAAUUUUUACUUUAAAACUUUCAACAACGGAUCUCUUGGUUCUGGCAUCGAUGAAGAACGCAGCGAAAUGCGAUAAGUAAUGUGAAUUGCAGAAUUCAGUGAAUCAUCGAAUCUUUGAACGCACAUUGCGCCCAUUAGUAUUCUAGUGGGCAUGCCUAUUCGAGCGUCAUAACAACCCUUAAGCCCUGUAGCUUAGCGUUGGGAACCUACCGCUUAGGCGGUAGCUCCUUAAAUUUAGUGGCGGAGUUACAGCACACCCUAAGCGUAGUAAAACUACCUCGCUUUCAGGGAGCCUGUAGCGGCCUGCCGUUAAAAAACCCCC